AGGGCAGCUGAGCCUCUGCCUCAAGGUUAAAUCCAAAGUGGCUGACCUGGAACAGGAGAGCACUUGAUCUUCCACUCUGUGGCAGAGGCUGAUGCUGGCCGAGCAGACGUCCCAGGGAGGGGAUCGGGCUGAGGCCACUGCGGAAGGGCUCUAGGUGGGAGGGAGAGGGAUAAUGGAGACCUGCGUGUGCUUGUACCUGGGUUUCUCCUACCCAAGCAGAGACACGGAGCAAUCAAAAUAGCUGGGCCCCAGGCCUCAAUCACCUGUGCAGUCCCAGCCCAGGAGCCUCUACUUUGCUGUAUUUCUGUCUGCAGCCACCCCUUGCAAGACACCCACAGAGAGGACCCAGUGAGGUGAGAGAGCAGAUGAUGCCGAAGCAUUUUAUAUUUGUAAAAGUCCAUCUGAUACCCUGAACAAGCUCCUUCAGCACAACUCUCUGAGGCAAAGUUUACCUGUAAUAAACAGAAGAAGAGACCGUUAACCCAUGUGCCCCCUGCACUUUUUGGGUGAACAAGUCAAAGGUUUCAGUCUCAGAUGAUAACCUGUAUUAAUAUUUCACGUCUGAAACUCUUCUACGCUUACCAAGGAGGGGGAUGGGAAAUUGCUUUUCUCCUCAGACCGUUUUCAGAAAAAGAGGCAGUUGAGAAAAAUUUCUUGGAGGGUCCUUUCUCUGGAAAACACCAUUGUUUUGGGUUUGUUUGUUUGUUUUUUACUGUGCCAACUUAGGCUUGGCAGAAGUCUCUGUAGACAUCUCUAUCUAUUCUCUCUUUCCAGAAGGAAAAAUAAAUAAAAUAAAACAAAACUCGACAAUAAUAAAAAAAUUUAGAGGAAGA